GGACAAACGCUGGCGGAAUGUAUUAGGCAUGCAAGUCGUACGAACCUUCGGGUUAGUGGCGAACGGGUGAGUAACACGUGGGUAACCUGCCUCGUAGUGGGGAAUAACUCGCCGAAAGGCGAGCUAAUACCGCAUAACACCCCCGGUGAGAUUCCGGGUGGUAAAAGCUCCGGCGCUACGAGAGGGGCCCGCGGCCGAUUAGCUAGUU
rnacentral:rRNA from 1 species